ACCGCCUACUUUUCUAUACUCAAGGUAGAGAAAAACAUAGCUUGACUGUUGUUUUAUCAUUAAACUCAAUGCUGUUAUUGUUUUUAAUUUCGUAAAGCAACGUGUGUUUCUUAACCAGACAAAGGGUAACAAACUAGAAGGCUGGUGGUGACUGGUUAGCUGCGGGUAAGCAAGAGAGUUGCCAGUGUGAUGUGCAUAAUCGGAAGUGGAGCCAGGGUGAAGCCUGUCUGCCCAACAACAUAUCAUACUCAUUUGAGUGUCUUGGAUUUACAUUUACUAUGUUACUAUGUUACUAUGUUUACUAUGUUAGUCUAUGAGACCAGGCUGCAAUGCCCACACUCAUUGCUUGCUCUCCUGUAGCUCCCCAGCUGACAGCCCUGAUUGUUUGUUUUUACGUAACAACACACACACGCCUAAGCAGUGAUGGUGUGAGUUGACACGCACGCACGCGCACACGCACACGCACACGCACACACACACACACACACACACACACACACACACACACACACACACACACACACACACACACACACACACACACACACACACACUGAGCUGGUUUAGGUAGCACCUAAUAGGUACUGUACUUAUCAUGGUCUACUUCCCUGACUGAGGAUCUCAUAAUAGGAUUACUGACGUCCUGAGUGUAGUCCUCUGAGACUGACAGAGCGAGUGAAGAGAUCAAUGGAGUAAGACAGAUGGGAGCAGUUGUCUUUGGUCCCCAUUCUCCAGUAGCAUCGUUCUGCUGCUAUGGUGCCGAUCCAUGCUAUGCACCCUCAGCCUGAUGAGGGGCCACCUAAACAAAGUGACCAGCCGACCAAGAUGCUAAUCGUGCUAGACAGUGAGGACAGUGAGGAAGAGUCCAUUGAAGAGCAGCAGCCGGUUACGCCAUGGAAUGACCUGUGUAUUAUAGAUCGCGUAGGCUUCACCAGUGCUAAGAUGUCAGAGGAACAAGUGGAGGUAAGGCAAUCCGUCAGUAGUUCUCAUUAACAUGAUGUUAUGAUGCAUUGCAAUCAUAGGGAUACACCUUGUGUGGGUAUUGUGCAUACUAUCGGAUUCCCCCAACCCCAGUCCCCCCUUAUGAUGUUGUAUGGUAAGCCCGUAACACAUUCGUUUCCCAUUAAGGACCUAUACAAUUCUAUUCUAAUUUAUUAGAUUAUUUUGUAUUCUACUGUAUUGUAUUGUAUUCUACUAUAUUAUCUUCUAUUCCGUUCUAUUCCAUUCUAUUCUAUCCAGAAUGCAUUCUCCCAGAUUGCGCUGGCCUUUCGUAGUGACCAGUACACCCUGAAGCAGAGGCUGCAGGCAGAGGAGCAUGCUAGGAACCUGGCUGAGGAGAACAUCCAGCUGGAGCUGAUGAGAGG
rnacentral:lncRNA from 13 species